GACGAACGCUGGCGGCGUGCUUAACACAUGCAAGUCGAACGAAGAGCGAUGGAAGCUUGCUUCUAUCAAUCUUAGUGGCGCACGGGUGAGUAACGCGUAAUCAACCUGCCCUUCAGAUGGGGACAACAGUUGGAAACGACUGCUAAUACCGCAUACGAUCUAAUCUCGGCAUCGAGGAUAGAUGAAAGGUGGCCUCUACAUGUAAGCUAUCACUGAAGUUGGGGAUUGCGUCUGAUUAGCUAGUUGGUGGGGUAACGGCCCACCAAGGCGAUGAUCAGUAGCCGGUCUGAGAGGAAGGACGGCCACAUUGGGACUGAGACAAGGCCCAGACUCCUAAGGGAGGCAGCAGUGGGGAAUCUUCCGCAAUGGACGAAAGUCUGACGGAGCAACGCCGCGUGAGUGAUGACGGCCUUCGGGUUGUAAAGCUCUGUUAAUCGGGACGAAAGGCCUUCUUGCGAAUAGUGAGAAGGAUUGACGGUACCGGAAUAGAAAGCCACGGCUAACUACGUG
rnacentral:rRNA from 1 species